AUGGAAACAACAAAACGUAAAGGCCCAGGCCCACCUAAGGUGGCAAGAUUGUCGUCGGCCCAAUAUGGGAGGGAGAGGUCACGUUCCGCCUCGCCCGACCCGGCGUCCCGGGGUCGGACAUUCCCGACCCCUUGAAGACUAAACUCCGCCUCGCCUGACCCAGGGGACCGGGGUCGGGAGCACCCGACCCCCGCCGCAAAACUCCGCCUCGCCCGACCCUGGGCGCGGGGGUCGUACUCGUUUGGGCCCACAAGACAAAUAUCCGGCUCGGGCGCAGAUUGGAGGAUCAGGGUGCUGAUCUCGUGGGUCCCCCUAUCGACCUCACCAUAAAUGCG
rnacentral:lncRNA from 1 species